rnacentral:misc_RNA from 1 species
GUAGGAGCAAGGCUUGCCCGCGAUGAACGAUAACGCGGUUCAGUUGUUCGACCGCGGUGCAGCUAUCGCGGGCAAGCCUUGCUCCCAC